AUAGGGUUUAGGGUUGAUAUCAAGGUUUAAGUCGGGUUAUGGUUUAGGGUCCAGGGUGGGUCGACGUUGGGCCAGGAAGGUAGGUGCCAAUUUGGGCGUGUCAACACCGAGUUGAGCUGAAAAAGUUCACGACUUGGAUUUUAAUCAACAGCUGUGACUUAUUGCAUAUAAGUCUUAAAGAAAGGUUUAACAACCGCCUCCACCACCACCAUUGCUACUACCAUCACCAUUGCUCUACAACCACCGUGCACCAUUGCUAUUGUCAUUGCCGCCACCACUGCUAUCUCUACCACCACCACCAGGGGCGGACCCACACUAUAGUGAGGGGGUUCAACUGAACCCCCUGGAAAAAUAUAAAUUUCACUUAUUCCCUUGUAUAGGUUUUUUUUUUGAACCCCCUGAGAUUUUUAUUUUGCACCUUGAACCCCACUUACUCCUCUCUCUCACACGUACUCACAGCGACACAACCUCACCCUCUUUCUCUCGUAGUCUGGCAUGUCUCUCUCUACCCUAGGUUAAGCCGUCAAACACCCGUCCACCGGCCAAGCGGCCACCUCUUACUCUCGCAGUCUCUGUCUCACUACUCAUGCCUCUCUAUCUCUAUCAGAGGGUUACUGGGUGGGUAAGGACUGUUAUGCUUCACUGCUGUUGGGUGAAAAUGGUGAUAGGAACCUUUCCAUGGAGAAGCAGGCUAUUCCAAAUCAGACCUUGAGAGGCUUAAUUAAGAAGGAAGCAUGCCCUGGGACUGUGUCUUGUGCUGACAUACUACCUCUUGCAGCUAGAAAUCCUGUUCUUCUGGUUUGUUUCCUACUUAUUUGUUUCCAAUUCAUUGACUUGGGUACUUCCUAUAUCUCAAGGUUCAAUGGGUAUUGAUUUAUAAGGAUUUCUUCUGAUUUUGCUAAAGAGAACAGCAAGAGUUUAUCUGUUAAAGGUCAAAAUUCUGAUAUAAUUUGGCUUUAAUUUCAAUUAAUUGUAGAAACAAAUAGCACAUGGUUGUGUUGAUAACUUGAUAUGCAUGGAUGGACCUGUUUAUCUGUCCAAUGAAUGAGUAGCUACCCUACAAAUUAAUAUACUGAAACAGAAAACAAUAAUGAUUGGUUUAUUGUUGUAGGCAACACCAUUUUGUACUGGCUAAGAGCCUAAGAUAGAUUGAAAUCUCUUAUUCCAAAACUGUAUCACAUGCUCUGGCUCACUAAUAUAAUUUGGACUUUAAAUUAAAAAUCACCAUGUAAGACCCCACCCAUGUACUUUGUAAUUAACAUUACAAUGUUCAAUUGGUGGAACAGAAAAUUGAGGCACCAUUUAGGACAGAAGAUCUUGAUCCUAAUUACUGAUGCCAUUUUUUUUCUUCAUGUUAUCUUUGUUCACAUGAUUGAUAUUAUUGGGAAAACCAGCCAUUUAAACUUAACACUGUUGAUGCAAAAGUGUACACACUUUAAUUCCUUAAUUUCUAUGUUGGAACCCGGAUUUGGGGGUAGCAAAGCUGAAUACCACUUUUUGAUGCUUGAAACUUGAUCUUUAUUGCAUUGCACCUGUAAUGUGUUUUGUGGACAUGACAAUUGCAGGAUGGUGGACCAUUGUAUCCAGUUUUAAUAGGCAAAAGGGAUAGCAAUGAAUCUUUUAUUGAGGAAGCAUUAGCAACUGAUGAGAAUCCGAAAAGUGAUGACAUGGACAACAUUACAUGCACACUGCAUCUCUUUAGUCUCAGAAGAGCUAAUGAAAGGGAAACAAUGAGCCUUGCUGAAAUUGGCAAAAUUAGGUGUGAUUUCAUUCAGCAAGAGCCUCACCCCACCAUAAUUGCUCUUGAUUUGGUUCGUCAGAUAAAGCUACACUGCAAGAAGCAUAACAUGAAGAAUAACAAUAUCUGCAGUGAUAAGCUUUCCCCGCUUGUGAUGUCAAAGCCAAAGCCAAAACCAAAUCAUAUUGAUAGUGGAAUUGCUUUUUUUUUGCAUUUUUCCAAUUCCUUUUCUUUUAGCUUUGUAUCUUCGCCGUUAGGGGCUCCGACUAAGGUGUACAACUUUUUGAUAAAUUUGAUUUGAUUCAUUUUAGUCUUUAAAAAUUAUU